rnacentral:lncRNA from 10 species
GGAAAUGACAUAAUUAAGCUAGAUUAUUUUAAUUUAAAUUCAGAAUUAAAAAUGAUUUUCAAUAGCUUCUUUGUCUUAAUUUAAUAAGCUUUUGUUGAACAUUGAUUAUAUUUUGAAUUCUAUUUUUUCUUUUGUUUUUAGUUGGCACAUAAUUAUACAUAUUUAUGGGAUACAGAGUGAUAUUUUGAUACAUGUAUACAAUAUGAAAUAUUCUAAUCAGAGUAAUUAGCAUACUAUCACCUUGUACAUUUGUCAUUUCCUUGUGAUGUGAAUAUUCAGAAUUCUAUCUGGUAGGUUUUUAAAAAAAUUCACUGAAUUAUUGUUAACUUAAUUCACCCUACAGUGCUACAGAACGCUAGAGCUAUUCCUCCCUUCUAGCUACAACUUUGUUACAAAGUUAACUUUGCUUACCAACCUCUUUCCAUCCUCUUCUUAUUCCCAUCCUUUCCAGCCUCUGAUAAUUACAAUUCUACUUGUUACUUUUAUAAGCUCAUUUUUAGCUCCCACAUAUAAGUGAGAACAUGUGGUUUUUCUCUCUCUGUGCCUGUCUUAUUUCACUUAACAUAAUGUCCUCCAGGCUCAUCUACGUUGUAACUAAUAACAUGAUUUCAAUUCACUACAAAAGUUAAAAGGAUACUCAACAGUGCCAAACAUUCUAUUUUAGUUUCCCAAUGCAUUCACUCCCACAGCAUUCAUAACAAUAACCUUCUACAAAGUUACCACAUGUCUUAUGCUAAAUUGAUGAGAUCUCCCAAUAUUAAGUAAAUUCUGUCCCUUAGCUCUCCCUCUCAUUUUAGUAUUAUCAUUCUCAUUAAUGAAUAAUUCCCUUUUUGUUAAAAGUUUACAUUGACCUACCGUUGUCCUUCAGUUAUCAACUUACUUUGUAUUCUUUCUUUGAAAGAAAUCAAUCAAACAAUAGACAGUCUCCUUCAAUAUUUCCUGUACUGUCUUCAAUCCACUUAGCUGAGUACUUUCUUUUUUCUCUACUUACUCACUUUUUCCCCUGAGUGUUCUCAAGCAUUUUCAUGAGUUUAAAGGCCAGUUACAUGAUAGCAUCUCAGAAUAUUUCCAAUUUUGGUAUCUUCUCUGAGUUAGAGCUUUGCAUAGUCAUCUACUUACUUAAUAUCAAAUGUGGAUUGUUUUAUAGACAACUGAAAUUCAUAAUGUUUUAAGUAGAGUUUUGUUAUUUUCUCUGCUUCCCAGUUUGUGUGUGUAUGCUUGUUUGUUUACUUCAGCUGGUGUUCCCAUUGAUUUUAUCUUAUCUAAUACACCAAAACCCUAUCAGUGGCUCUUUUCUUCAAACUUGCACAUAUCUUAAAUAUGUAUUUCAUUAUUUUGAACAAGGUCUCCACCUUCUUGUCGUUUCACUUUAAUAGUUUUCUAAUUCAUUUCCUUGUGUUUAUUCUUGUCCCUGUAAAAAUUAUUCUUGGUUUAAGAGGCAGAGAUAUAUAUGUAUUAUAAACACAGGGAAACAAAUUAGAUAUAAACCAAUUACUAUAAACCAAUGUAAUAAUAAUAAUAUAUAUUACUUUUUUCUAUUUUUUCUUCUUUUUCUUUUUUAUUUUUUGUAAUGUAAGCAAGAUUCUUUCCCUCCUCUGCCUUAAAUCCUUUAGUUACUUGUGGAGUACAAUUACAAAUCUCCAGGAUGCUAAAGCUCUGCUCUGCUGUCUACAACCACAGGCACCAUUCAAGACCCUCACUCCUAAUGAGACAGGGCUCUUUCCACUCUUGAAACACAGUUUUUCCCCAUGGCAGGGUUUUGCACAAGGUAACAUCUUGUCUUUGAAGCUUCAUAGUUUGGCUUUUUAAUCAAAUGGUUCCUUUUCCAUAUUUAAGUCAUCACUUUACAUUUCAUUUUCUUUUUUUUUUUUUUUUUUUUUUUUUU